UCUCCCUGCACUUGAACUACUUCUUCAUUCAAACGAUGAAGAAGUCAUAAAAAAUGCUUGCUUUGCACUGUGACAUCUCUAAUGGUUCUGAAGAUGGUAUCCAAAGUUUGACUGAGGCUGACUUUGUCUCAAAACUAGUUCAAUUUCUCAAACACCCUUCUCCAGCGGUGCUUGUUCAUGCACUUCGUAAAGAAGCCUGCUUGCUGGGUGAUUUUAAACAUCACUGUAGGCACUGAAGAACAAGAUUCAUGGGUUUGGAUUGAAAAAGGUAGAUAAAGUUGUGGCCUUUAUCUCUGAUGAGAGCUUCUUGUCCAAUGCCGAAUCUAAGCUCCAA